GCGACAGCAUGGACGACGUCUGAUGGAGCAUGCCGCGUGAGUGAAGAAGGGUUUCGGCUCGUAAAACUCUGUUGUUAAAGAAGAACACCUUUGAGAGUAACUGUUCAAGGGUUGACGGUAUUUAACCAGAAAGCCACGGCUAACUACGUGCCAGCAGCCGCGGUAAUACGUAGGUGGCAAGCGUUGUCCGGAUUUAUUGGGCGUAAAGCGAGCGCAGGCGGUUUUUUAAGUCUGAUGUGAAAGCCUUCGGCUUAACCGGAGAAGUGCAUCGGAAACUGGGAGACUUGAGUGCAGAAGAGGACAGUGGAACUCCAUGUGUAGCGGUGGAAUGCGUAGAUAUAUGGAAGAACACCAGUGGCGAAGGCGGCUGUCUAGUCUGUAACUGACGCUGAGGCUCGAAAGCAUGGGUAGCGAACAGGAUUAGAUACCCCGGGUAGUCCCAA
rnacentral:rRNA from 2 species